GUGGCAUACGGCUCAGUAACACGUAGUCAACAUAACCAAAGGACGUGGAUAAACUCGGGAAACUGAGGCUAAACCGCGAUAGAUCAAGAUAUCUGGAAUGGUUUUUGAUCAAAAUCUAUAUGGCCUUUGGAUUGGACUGCGUCCGAUCAGGCUGUUGGUGAGGUAAUGGCCCACCAAACCUGUAACCGGUACGGGCUCUGAGAGGAGGAGCCCGGAGAUGGGUACUGAGACAAGGACCCAGGCCCUAUGGGGCGCAGCAGGCGCGAAACCUCUGCAAUAGGCGAAAGCCUGACAGGGUUACUCUGAGUGACUUUCGCUAAGAAAGUCUUUUGACACCUCUAAAAAUGGUGUAGAAUAAGGGGUGGGCAAGUCUGGUGUCAGCCGCCGCGGUAAUACCAGCACCCCGAGUGGUCGGGACGAUUAUUGGGCCUAAAGCAUCCGUAGCCGGUUUUACAAGUCCUCCGUUAAAUCCAGCUGCUUAACAGAUGGGCUGCGGAGGAUACUAUAAGACUAGGAGGCAGGAGAGGCAAGCGGUACUCAGUGGGUAGGGGUAAAAUCCGUUGAUCCAUUGAAGACCACCAGUGGCGAAGGCGGCUUGCCAGAAUGCGCUCGACGGUGAGGGAUGAAAGCUGGGGGAGCAAACCGGAUUAGAUACCCGGGUAGUCCCAGCUGUAAACGAUGCAGACU
rnacentral:rRNA from 1 species